GUGCGGGCUAGCGCCCACACACUCCUCACACCCCCGGCUCGACGCGUUCGAGCUUU
rnacentral:sRNA from 16 species